GGCCCGGAGGUGCGACUGGCAAGUCAUUGAUUCUCAUCAAGCCGCGGCUGACUCUUAAUCAGCGGGCCCAGGUUCGAGCCCUGGUGCGGCCACCA
rnacentral:tRNA from 1 species